rnacentral:rRNA from 1 species
GAUGAACGCUGGCGGCGUGCCUAAUACAUGCAAGUCGAGCGAACGGACGAUAAGCUUGCUUUUCUGAUGUUAGCGGCGGACGUGUGUGUAACACGUGGAUAACCUACCUAUCUUACUGGGAUAACUUCGGGACACCGGAGCUAAUACCGUAUAAUAUUUUGAACCGCAUGGUUCAAUAGUGAAAGACGGUCUUUCUGUCACUUAUAGCUGGAUCCGGGCUGCAUUAGAUAGUUGGUAAGGUAACGGCUUACCAAGGCGACGAUGCAUAGCCGAGGGGAGAGGGGGAUAGGCCACACGGGAAGUGAGACACGGUCAAGACGCCUAAGGGAGGGAGCAGUAGGGAAUGGGACGCAAUGGGCGAAAGCAUGACAGAGAAAGGCCGCGUGAGUGAUGGAGGUCUUCGGAUCGUAAAACUGUGUUAUGGGGGAAGAACAGAUGUGGAAGGAGAUGUGCACAGCGUGACGGUACCGAAUCAGAAAGCAACGGCUAACUACGUG